GAGGGUAUAGCUCAGUGGUAGAGUGUAUGCUUAGCAUGCAGGAGGGUCUGGGUUCAAUCCCCAGUGCCUCCA
rnacentral:tRNA from 1 species